rfam:Gossypium hirsutum cultivar TM-1 unplaced genomic scaffold scaffold238.1, whole genome shotgun sequence
UGUUAAAAAUUUCAUCUAUUUCUAUUGUUAAAAACUAGCAUGACUGAUAGAAUAACUAGACAAUUACACGUGACAUGUCAUGUAUACCUCAUUCUAACAUAUAUUGACAAUUUUUUAACAACGAAAAUAGAUGGAGUUUUUAAUA